rnacentral:rRNA from 1 species
AGAGUUUGAUCCUGGCUCAGGAUGAACGCUAGCUACAGGCUUAACACAUGCAAGUCGAGGGGCAGCAUGGUCUUAGCUUGCUAAGGCCGAUGGCGACCGGCGCACGGGUGAGUAACACGUAUCCAACCUGCCGUCUACUCUUGGACAGCCUUCUGAAAGGAAGAUUAAUACAAGAUGGCACCAUGAGUCCACAUGUUCACAUGAUUAAAGGUAUUCCGGUAGACGAUGGGGAUGCGUUCCAUUAGAUAGUAGGCGGGGUAACGGCCCACCUAGUCUUCGAUGGAUAGGGGUUCUGAGAGGAAGGUCCCCCACAUUGGAACUGAGACACGGUCCAAACUCCUACGGGAGGCAGCAGUGAGGAAUAUUGGUCAAUGGGCGAGAGCCUGAACCAGCCAAGUAGCGUGAAGGAUGACUGCCCUAUGGGUUGUAAACUUCUUUUAUAAAGGAAUAAAGUCGGGUAUGCAUACCCGUUUGCAUGUACUUUAUGAAUAAGGAUCGGCUAACUCCGUGCCAGCAGCCGCGGUAAUACGGAGGAUCCGAGCGUUAUCCGGAUUUAUUGGGUUUAAAGGGAGCGUAGAUGGAUGUUUAAGUCAGUUGUGAAAGUUUGCGGCUCAACCGUAAAAUUGCAGUUGAUACUGGAUGUCUUGAGUGCAGUUGAGGCAGGCGGAAUUCGUGGUGUAGCGGUGAAAUGCUUAGAUAUCACGAAGAACUCCGAUUGCGAAGGCAGCCUGCUAAGCUGCAACUGACAUUGAGGCUCGAAAGUGUGGGUAUCAAACAGGAUUAGAUACCCUGGUAGUCCACACGGUAAACGAUGAAUACUCGCUGUUUGCGAUAUACUGCAAGCGGCCAAGCGAAAGCGUUAAGUAUUCCACCUGGGGAGUACGCCGGCAACGGUGAAACUCAAAGGAAUUGACGGGGGCCCGCACAAGCGGAGGAACAUGUGGUUUAAUUCGAUGAUACGCGAGGAACCUUACCCGGGCUUAAAUUGCAGAUGAAUUACGGUGAAAGCCGUAAGCCGCAAGGCAUCUGUGAAGGUGCUGCAUGGUUGUCGUCAGCUCGUGCCGUGAGGUGUCGGCUUAAGUGCCAUAACGAGCGCAACCCUUGUUGUCAGUUACUAACAGGUUCUGCUGAGGACUCUGACAAGACUGCCAUCGUAAGAUGUGAGGAAGGUGGGGAUGACGUCAAAUCAGCACGGCCCUUACGUCCGGGGCUACACACGUGUUACAAUGGGGGGUACAGAGGGCCGCUACCACGCGAGUGGAUGCCAAUCCCAAAAACCUCUCUCAGUUCGGACUGGAGUCUGCAACCCGACUCCACGAAGCUGGAUUCGCUAGUAAUCGCGCAUCAGCCACGGCGCGGUGAAUACGUUCCCGGGCCUUGUACACACCGCCCGUCAAGCCAUGGGAGCCGGGGGUACCUGAAGUGCGUAACCGCGAGGAGCGCCCUAGGGUAAAACUGGUGACUGGGGCUAAGUCGUAACAAGGUAGCC